GAUGAACGCUGGCGGUAUGCCUAACACAUGCAAGUCGUACGAGAGUUUUUAACUCUAGUGGCGGACGGGUGAGUAACACGUGAGAAUUUGCCUUUAGGAGGGGGACAACAAUCGGAAACGAAUGCUAAUACCCCAUAUGCUUUCGAGUGAAAUGGAUUUUAUCCGCCUAGAGAGAAGCUCGCGGCUGAUUAGCUUGUUGGUAAGGUAAGAGCUUACCAAGGCGACGAUCAGUAUCUGGUUUGAGAGGACGAUCAGACACACUGGAACUGAGACACGGUCCAGACUCCUACGGGAGGCAGCAGUGGGGAAUUUCCGCAAUGGGCGAAAGCCUGACGGAGCAAUACCGCGUGAGGGAUGAAGCAUCGUAGUGUGUAAACCUCUUUUCUUAAGGAAGAACAAAUGACGGUACUUAAGGAAUAAGCAACCGGCUAAACUCUGUG
rnacentral:rRNA from 1 species